CAGGAAGGAGGCUGGCCGAGCUCCCAGCAGCAGACCAGACCAUCCAGCACAGCUUUUGCAAGAGAAAGAGAAUGGGAAGGUUGGGGGCGAGGGGAAUCAGAAGACCAUCAAAAUAUUCCAGCCCCUGCACUGAUGCCAAGAUCUUCCAACAGAGUCGUCUAUAUAUCAUUCAGAUUAUCGUGUGCCACAAGCAGAGAGCACAAGGGAUUGAGUAUUGCAAGUUAGGCACACUGAACAGAUGAUGGCAACAAACAAACUCUAUUGUUUUUCAACCAUUAUGCUAGAGACCUUGAGGAACUUCUGCAAGGAUGUUAAGGUCCUCUUUGCUGGUGUGUCCCCGUGUGAGAUCAUGGUCCUU